GACCCGCCUGGGGAUCGAACCCAGGACCUUCUUGCUGUGAGGCGACAGUGCUACCCACCGAGCCACCCCCAGUAUAAACGGGUUAAUGAACAUCAGUGGGUGUGGUUAAAACAUCAGAACUCAGUAACUAUAAGGGGCGUCCGGAUAUUUUUGAUCAGAGGUCGAUUAUGUCUCACCUUCUGUUCCUUGCAGCCGUUUCGGAGUGUUUGGAUGUGUCGGCGUGCUGGAGUGAGUGCUGGGUGCGAUGCCGUAUGAAUGGUCCCCCCGGGCAGCGCAAGCUUUUACCGGGCUUUCGUCUUCGGGCAGCUCCUCCGGGCACAGGUAUCAUGGCUGGGACAACGAAGACAAAAAGGACACGUGGUGAGACAGUAAGCAGGAGUAUCGGCCCCUCGCACACUUACAUCCACUGGAUAUGAUUUUUGGAUUUCUUGCGGAUGAGCUGGACCCCCUCCAGCACGUUGGUGAUGUCGUAGAUCCUCCUCUUCUGCACCUCCAGCACCUCGGUGGCCCAGUUCAGGUCCAGCACGCCGUCCGCCGACUCGCUCAGCAGGCCGACGAACUUCUUGGUGAGCAGGCCGAGGGAGGUGUCGUAGCGCGUCCGCUCGCCUGGGGACUUCGGAGCUGUGGGGUAGUGAAGAACAAAUUAAAGCCUUAUGAUCGUCUACUCUUAAUCAUUAAAGUUUUAUUUCCCUUUGA